CAGUAGCCGCGGUAAUGCGUAGGUGGCAAGCGUUGUCCGGAAUUAUUGGGCGUAAAGGGCUCGCAGGCGGUUUCUUAAGUCUGAUGUGAAAGCCCCCGGCUCAACCGGGGAGGGUCAUUGGAAACUGGGAAACUUGAGUGCAGAAGAGGAGAGUGGAAUUCCACGUGUAGCAGUGAAAUGCGUAGAGAUGUGGAGGAACACCAGUGGCGAAGGCGACUCUCUGGUCUGUAACUGACGCUGAGGAGCGAAAGCGUGGGGAGCGAACAGGAUUAGAUACCCCAGUAGUCCCUGUCUCUUAUAC
rnacentral:rRNA from 1 species